rnacentral:rRNA from 1 species
AUAUUGCACAAUGGGCGAAAGCCUGAUGCAGCGACGCCGCGUGGGGGAUGAAGGCCUUCGGGUUGUAAACCCCUUUCAGCAGGGAAGAAGCGAAAGUGACGGUACCUGCAGAAGAAGCGCCGGCUAACUACGUGCCAGCAGCCGCGGUAAUACGUAGGGCGCAAGCGUUGUCCGGAAUUAUUGGGCGUAAAGAGCUCGUAGGCGGUUUGUCGCGUCUGCUGUGAAAACCCGAGGCUCAACCUCGGGCCUGCAGUGGGUACGGGCAGACUAGAGUGCGGUAGGGGAGACUGGAAUUCCUGGUGUAGCGGUGGAAUGCGCAGAUAUCAGGAGGAACACCGAUGGCGAAGGCAGGUCUCUGGGCCGCAACUGACGCUGAGGAGCGAAAGCAUGGGGAGCGAACAGGAUUAGAUACCCUGGUAGUCCAUGCCGUAAACGUUGGGCACUAGGUGUGGGGCUCAUUCCACGAGUUCCGUGCCGCAGCAAACGCAUUAAGUGCCCCGCCUGGGGAGUACGGCCGCAAGGCUAAAACUCAAAGGAAUUGACGG